rnacentral:rRNA from 1 species
UACGAGAGGCCCAAACGUUAUUCGGAUUUACUGGGCUUAAAGAGUUCGUAGGCGGCUCGGUAAGUAGGGUGUGAAAGCCCUCGGCUCAACCGAGGAAUUGCGCCCUAAACUGUCGCGCUCGAGGAACCUAGAGGUGAGCAGAACUGAUGGUGGAGCGGUGAAAUGCGCAGAUAUCGGGAGGAACACCAAUGGCGAAGGCAGCUCGCUGGGACGUUACUGACGCUGAGACGCGAAAGCGUGGGGAGCAAACAGG